UACGUAGGGCGCAAGCGUUGUCCGGAAUUAUUGGGCGUAAAGAGCGUGUAGGCGGUUAGGUAGGUCCGUUGUGAAAACUCGAGGCUCAACCUCGAGACGCCGAUGGAAACCAUCUGACUAGAGUCCGGAAGAGGAGAGUGGAAUUCCUGGUGUAGCGGUGAAAUGCGCAGAUAUCAGGAAGAACACCCGUGGCUAAGGCGGCUCUCUGGGACGGUACUGACGCUGAGACGCGAAAGCGUGGGGAGCGAACAGG
rnacentral:rRNA from 1 species